ACACAUGCAAGUCGAGGGGCAGCAUGGUCUUAGCUUGCUAAGGCCGAUGGCGACCGGCGCACGGGUGAGUAACACGUAUCCAACCUGCCGUCUACUCUUGGACAGCCUUCUGAAAGGAAGAUUAAUACAAGAUGGCAUCAUGAGUCCGCAUGUUCACAUGAUUAAAGGUAUUCCGGUAGACGAUGGGGAUGCGUUCCAUUAGAUAGUAGGCGGGGUAACGGCCCACCUAGUCUUCGAUGGAUAGGGGUUCUGAGAGGAAGGUCCCCCACAUUGGAACUGAGACACGGUCCAAACUCCUACGGGAGGCAGCAGUGAGGAAUAUUGGUCAAUGGGCGAGAGCCUGAACCAGCCAAGUAGCGUGAAGGAUGACUGCCCUAUGGGUUGUAAACUUCUUUUAUAAAGGAAUAAAGUCGGGUAUGCAUACCCGUUUGCAUGUACUUUAUGAAUAAGGAUCGGCUAACUCCGUGCCAGCAGCCGCGGUAAUACGGAGGAUCCGAGCGUUAUCCGGAUUUAUUGGGUUUAAAGGGAGCGUAGAUGGAUGUUUAAGUCAGUUGUGAAAGUUUGCGGCUCAACCGUAAAAUUGCAGUUGAUACUGGAUAUCUUGAGUGCAGUUGAGGCAGGCGGAAUUCGUGGUGUAGCGGUGAAAUGCUUAGAUAUCACGAAGAACUCCGAUUGCGAAGGCAGCCUGCUAAGCUGCAACUGACAUUGAGGCUCGAAAGUGUGGGUAUCAAACAGGAUUAGAUACCCUGGUAGUCCACACGGUAAACGAUGAAUACUCGCUGUUUGCGAUAUACAGCAAGCGGCCAAGCGAAAGCGUUAAGUAUUCCACCUGGGGAGUACGCCGGCAACGGUGAAACUCAAAGGAAUUGACGGGGGCCCGCACAAGCGGAGGAACAUGUGGUUUAAUUCGAUGAUACGCGAGGAACCUUACCCGGGCUUAAAUUGCAGAUGAAUUACGGUGAAAGCCGUAAGCCGCAAGGCAUCUGUGAAGGUGCUGCAUGGUUGUCGUCAGCUCGUGCCGUGAGGUGUCGGCUUAAGUGCCAUAACGAGCGCAACCCUUGUUGUCAGUUACUAACAGGUUCCGCUGAGGACUCUGACAAGACUGCCAUCGUAAGAUGUGAGGAAGGUGGGGAUGACGUCAAAUCAGCACGGCCCUUACGUCCGGGGCUACACACGUGUUACAAUGGGGGGGUACAGAGGGCCGCUACCACGCGAGUGGAUGCCAAUCCCAAAAACCUCUCUCAGUUCGGACUGGAGUCUGCAACCCGACUCCACGAAGCUGGAUUCGCUAGUAAUCGCGCAUCAGCCACGGCGCGGUGAAUACGUUCCCGGGCCUUGUACACACCGCCCGUCAAGCCAUGGGAGCCGGGGGUACCUGAAGUGCGUAACCACGAGGAGCGCCCUAGGGUAAAACUGGUGACUGGGGCUAA
rnacentral:rRNA from 1 species